GACGAACGCUGGCGGCGUGCUUAACACAUGCAAGUCGAACGGAAAGGCCCUGCUUUUGUGGGGUGCUCGAGUGGCGAACGGGUGAGUAACACGUGAGUAACCUGCCCUUGACUUUGGGAUAACUUCAGGAAACUGGGGCUAAUACCGGAUAGGAGCUCCUGCUGCAUGGUGGGGGUUGGAAAGUUUCGGCGGUUGGGGAUGGACUCGCGGCUUAUCAGCUUGUUGGUGGGGUAGUGGCUUACCAAGGCUUUGACGGGUAGCCGGCCUGAGAGGGUGACCGGCCACAUUGGGACUGAGAUACUGCCCAGACUCCUACGGGAGGCAGCAGUGGGGAAUAUUGCACAAUGGGCGGAAGCCUGAUGCAGCAACGCCGCGUGCGGGAUGAAGGCCUUCGGGUUGUAAACCGCUUUCGCCUGUGACGAAGCGUGAGUGACGGUAAUGGGUAAAGAAGCACCGGCUAACUACGUG
rnacentral:rRNA from 1 species